GAUGAACGCUAGCGACAGGCUUAACACAUGCAAGUCGAGGGGCAUCAUGAGGUAGCAAUACCUUGAUGGCGACCGGCGCACGGGUGAGUAACGCGUAUGCAACCUGCCCGAUACCGGGGUAUAGCCCAUGGAAACGUGGAUUAACACCCCAUAGUACUUUUAUCCUGCCUGGGAUGGGAGUUAAAUGUUCAAGGUAUCGGAUGGGCAUGCGUCCUAUUAGUUAGUUGGCGGGGUAACAGCCCACCAAGACGAUGAUAGGUAGGGGUUCUGUGAGGAAGGUCCCCCACAUUGGAACUGAGACAAGGUCCAAACUCCUACGGGAGGCAGCAGUGAGGAAUAUUGGUCAAUGGACGUAAGUCUGAACCAGCCAAGUCGCGUGAGGGAAGACUGCCCUAUGGGUUGUAAACCUCUUUUAUAAGGGAAGAAUAAGUUCUACGUGUAGAAUGAUGCCUGUACCUUAUGAAUAAGCAUCGGCUAACUCCGUGCCAGCAGCCGCGGUAA
rnacentral:rRNA from 1 species